rnacentral:rRNA from 1 species
AGUGCUGAAAGCAUCUAAGCAUGAAGCCCCCCUCAAGAUGAGAUUUCCCAACUUCGGUUAUAAGAUCCCUCGAAGAUGACGAGGUUAAUAGGUUCGAGGUGGAAGCGUGGUGACACGUGGAGCUGACGAAUACUAAUCGAUCGAAGACUUAAUCAAUUUUUAAA